rnacentral:tRNA from 2 species
GAAUCACUAGCUCAGUUGGCAGAGCAUCUGACUUUUAAUCAGAGGGUCCGGGGUUCGAGUCCCCGGUGGUUCACCA